rnacentral:tRNA from 1 species
GGAGGGGUCGCCUAGUGGUCUAUGGCGCUUGCUUGGAAAGCAAGUUUAGGUUUUCCUAUCGGGGGUUCGAAUCCCCCUCCCUCCG